UUGCACGCUGGCGGCAGGCCUAACACUUGCAAGUCGAGCGGAUGAAGGGAGCUUGCUCCUGGAUUCAGCGGCGGACGGGUGAGUAAUGCCUAGGAAUCUGCCUGGUAGUGGGGGAUAACGUCCGGAAACGGGCGCUAAUACCGCAUACGUCCUGAGGGAGAAAGUGGGGGAUCUUCGGACCUCACGCUAUCAGAUGAGCCUAGGUUGGAUUAGCUAGUUGGUGGGGUAAAGGCCUACCAAGGCGACGAUCCGUAACUGGUCUGAGAGGAUGAUCAGUCACACUGGAACUGAGACACGGUCCAGACUCCUACGGGAGGCAGCAGUGGGGAAUAUUGGACAAUGGGCGAAAGCCUGAUCCAGCCAUGCCGCGUGUGUGAAGAAGGUCUUCGGAUUGUAAAGCACUUUAAGUUGGGAGGAAGGGCAGUAAGUUAAUACCUUGCUGUUUUGACGUUACCAACAGAAUAAGCACCGGCUAACUUCGUG
rnacentral:rRNA from 1 species